rnacentral:rRNA from 1 species
CAAUAGCGUAUAUUUAAGUUGUUGCAGUUAAAAAGCUCGUAGUUGGAUUUCGGGUGGGACGUAGCGGUCUCGCAUUGCGUUUGUACUGCUGCAGCCCUCCUUCUUGCCGGGGGCGGCCUCUCGGACUUCACUGUCUGGGGGUCAGAAUCGGCGAUGUUACUUUGAGUAAAUUAGAGUGUUCAAAGCAAGCUUACGCUCUGAAUAUAAUAGCAUGGGAUAACACGACAGGACUCUGGCCUAUCGUGUUGGUCUAUAGGACCAGAGUAAUGAUUAAGAGGGACAGUCGGGGGCAUUCGUAUUCCGUUGUCAGAGGUGAAAUUCUUGGAUUUACGGAAGACGAACAUCUGCGAAAGCAUUUGCCAAGGAUGUUUUCAUUGA